rnacentral:rRNA from 1 species
AUUGAACGCUGGCGGCAGGCCUAACACAUGCAAGUCGAGCGGCAGCGGGUCCUUCGGGAUGCCGGCGAGCGGCGGACGGGUGAGUAAUGCCUAGGAAUCUGCCUGGUAGUGGGGGAUAACGUUCGGAAACGGACGCUAAUACCGCAUACGUCCUACGGGAGAAAGUGGGGGAUCUUCGGACCUCACGCUAUCAGAUGAGCCUAGGUCGGAUUAGCUAGUUGGGGGGGUAAAGGCUCACCAAGGCGACGAUCCGUAACUGGUCUGAGAGGAUGAUCAGUCACACUGGAACUGAGACACGGUCCAGACUCCUACGGGAGGCAGCAGUGGGGAAUAUUGGACAAUGGGCGAAAGCCUGAUCCAGCCAUGCCGCGUGUGUGAAGAAGGUCUUCGGAUUGUAAAGCACUUUAAGUUGGGAGGAAGGGCAGUCAGUUAAUACCUGGUUGUUUUGACGUUACCAACAGAAUAAGCACCGGCUAACUUCGUGCCAGCCGCCGCGGUAACAC